rnacentral:rRNA from 1 species
GGGGGGCGGCUGUUCUACACCAGCACCUGCGGUAAUUCCAGCUCCAAAAGUAUAUAUUUAAGUUGUUGCGGUUGAAAAGCUCGUAGUUGGAUUUUGGGCGCGGGCGGUCGGUCCGUCGCGAGGCGUGUACUGUUCGACCCGGCCUUACGUUCGGUUCUCCGGCGGUGCUCUUGACUGAGUGUCGGCGGCGGCCGGAAAGUUUACUUUGAAAAAAUUAGAGUGUUCAAAGCAGGCUGUCGAGCCUGGAUAAUGGUGCAUGGAAUAAUGGAAUAGGACCUUGGUUCUAUUUUGUUGGUUUUCGGAGCGCGAGGUAAUGAUUAAGAGGGACAGACGGGGGCAUUCGUACUGUGCCGUUAGAGGUGAAAUUCUUGGAUCGGCGCAAGACGAACGACUGCGAAAGCAUUUGCCAAGAAUGUUUUCU